AUCAAUUAAACCUAAAGCACUAUCAUGUCGUUGUAGUACUGAAGGUUGUCAAUCCAAAUGGGUGUGAUGCUAACAAUCAAGAUGUGAUCAGAAGUCACUAAGUCAAGCCAAGCAAGAACAGGUUUUGGUGUGUUCUAGCAGUCCUAAGUGAACAUGCAGAAAACAGAAAAUUAAACAGAAACAGUAAAACACUCGACCAACACAGCUCUUUGCAGAGCACUGGGUGAGGUCGAGUGAAAGGUCGAGUAACAGACAGAAAAUAAAACACAGAUACUCGACUGCACAGUCUGUUGCCAGACAACAGGGUGGUCGAGUAACCAGAAAGAAUUGCAAAAAUUAAGUGACAGAUAACAAGAUGCAAUAAACAACAGUAGAGCAAACAAAGAAUUCAAUUAGAUAAAGAAUUCCCGAGGAUGGGGUAAUUGAGUAGUUUCGUUUCCUCAGUUUACAGGUGAUUGACAUGCUCAAUAAAUUAACCCUAGACAACAAGUUCAUUAACCAAAUCUAAGUGCCACCGCAACCGAGACUAUCAAGUUAACCUAGUCCCAGACUCAAUCACCAUUGACGAGAGCUAACCUAACAGGCAUUACGAAUCAACAAGUUAAAGCCAAAACGCUCCCUGCAACGAAUCAACAAGUUAAAGCCAAUACCUUGGUGCAGGGUCACGAAUCUCUGGAAUUAGUGGUUCGGACAUUUCAUCGAACACCUUUUGGGCGCGAAAAUGUAUGGGCUCAAAUUCCAGUUGAUCAGAAAGCAAUAGGCAUUAAGAACAACUAAUCCAGAAGGGAUCUAUCAAUCAAUACUCAAUCACCUAGCAUACUGAGAAUUCUACACUACUCUAACCCAUACUCAGAAACCUAUUCACUACUCAAACAUCAUAAAAGAAAGCAUAAACGUUGAACAAGUUGAAAACAUGAUAACAACAGUGUAACAGCAGGAUGAUAAUAGAAUGAACAACAGUAAACAAAAUCAAGAACAAAAGCUGAAUACUUAAUUGAUAAAGAGAAAUCCGGAUUACAAAAGGUCUAGAACACAAGGUCUGCGAAAUAAAACUAGUUAAAAACUUUGCUGCGAAAAUGUGAAGUACAUGCUACUUAUAGCCAAAUAUUCCGAAACCCUAAUACUUAAAACGACGAAGUAUUGGGACGGAUUAAGAACUGUACUCGGCCCAUGUGGUCGAGUGGGAGGUCGAGUGAAUAGCUGGAGUCUUCUUUUCUUCCUUGUGCUCGAGUGUCUGGUUGAGUGCGGAAUGAAGAAGGCUCUGAAGCUUGUCAUCGAGUACGCAGUCGAGUGGUGGUGAUGGUGAUACUCGACUUCUAGGUAGAGUGAUGAGGUCGAGUAGUGGUCUGGCAAUGAAGGUGAAGACACUCGGCCUCGAGGUCGAGUGAUGUGAUCGAGUGAUGGUCAUGUGAUGGGAUGAAGACACUCGACCUCGGGGUCGAGUGAUGUGGUGAAGUAGUGAUGUCCUCUACUCGACCAGGGGGUCGAGUGAUCUUUUGAGAUCUUGAAGCUCCUACUCGACCUCGUGGUCGAGUGGUUUGACAUGAUCAUGCCCGCAUCUUCCAGAUAGCUCGUCAACAGCUCCAAAUCACCUGAAAUCAACGCAAAUAUGCAACAUGCAUGCAAAUCUAUCCUAAACAUGUAAAGUGAUGACAAAUGAUGAGAAAUGGUAUAAAACAGUGAUGAUAUGAUGCUAAAGUGAUGACAAAUGGAUGCUCAAAACAUGCAAAAUACACACUUAUCAACUCCCCCAAACUUAGUCUUUGCUUGCCCUCUAGCAAACAAUCAAGAACAAGCUGGAGGUGAGGUUUGAAAGCGGGGACUCAGAGCCAAAGCACUAGAUAAACCAGAUGAAAUCAAUGUCCAAGUUGAAAGUUCUAAGCUGCAAGAUCGAAUUCUACUUAAAAACGUUAGCCAUGCCUCAUUAUCAAUCAAUCCAACUCAUAUGCUCGACCUACACAUGUUUUCAAAUCUACCAAUCCGUUUAACAUUCAUUAGUUCUGGAACGUGAAUCAAGCAAUGCAUCAUCAAUAAACUCAUUUGGCUAAGGUAAAAGGUCAAGAGACAAAGAUGGUCCCUUAUAGAAUAGGCUUCAAUAAUAGGGGAUCUCUCAAGAAAAAUGAUUAAGCUUUAGUAGAAUGCUAAAGGUAAGUCCCAAGCUAUGCAUACAGAGAUAAGAUCCCAUCUACCCAGAGUAUAUCAAAUGAAGCUCUAAUGGUAAUCCCAUCUCCAAUCCCAAUAUAAGAACUUAACUCUACCCUUUGCAUUCAUGAAUCUUUUAAACCCUUGUUCUAAUCAUUCUUUUCUUUUCUCUUAACUCUAGGAGAAGCUUUCUCAACACUUUGAUACAUCUAGCGGAUUUGGAUUUCUUUAACAACUAAGGUUCCUGUUUUUAACAUUUUAAAACCAAGGGCUUUUGCCCAUCUUCAAUAGCUAACAAGAACUCUUUCUUUUCUUUAUAAAUCCCAAAACCUUUACUAGACUUUUUCCGCUUCUUUAGCUUACUCCACCUAGAGUCCUUUACCUUUUCUCAUCAAUGAAUCAACCCCUUUUUUCUUUUAAACACAUCCCAACCCAAAGUAUAAGCGCCCACCUAGUCCUAUCUAGUCCGAAAAAUGCGAACUAGAACUACAUGAGACACUAUCUCUGUCGUUACGAACCUACCACUUUCUACCAAGCUUAAUCGGAAUAAGACCUCACAAACACUCACAAGUGAUAUAGGGAUUGAAAGAAAGUCUAGGUUUGGGUUUGGGUUAACUGCUCUAAUAAGGAGAGUCAGCUACUUGGAUUAACAAGAGUGAUCAAAAUGAAUAAGAAAAUCCAAGUAUUUUAGGGUAUCCAUGAGUUCAAAUUUGAUGCAGACAUGAUAAUUAAAGAUCAGAUUCAUGUUCAAAUUGAUAGGGAAUGGUAUCAGAUCAUGAUAGUGUGGUCGAAUAGAGCAAUCCAGGCAUGGUUCAGUUUUAUUUCAAAUUCAUUGACUACGCAACAGACAACUAGCAACGAGGGCACUGAGUUUAUCCGGUGAAUCAAAAUGCUUACAAGGCUAUCUCAUCAUCAUCCCCUAUGCAUAUGCAACAAUCCUAAAUGAAACACUCAAGACUCGAUCCUAAAUGUAAUGCAACUACAUGAACACUCUUUUUUUGUGAAAUCAGUUUCUGA
rnacentral:sRNA from 1 species